UACGUAGGUGUCGAGCGUUGUCCGGAUUUAUUGGGCGUAAAGAGCCCGCAGGCGGCUUGGCAAGUUUGAGGUGAAAUCUCCCGGCUUAACUGGGAGGGGGCCUCGAAAACUGCCAGGCUUGAGGCAUGGAGAGGGAUGCGGAAUUCCCGGUGUAGUGGUGAAAUGCGUAGAUAUCGCUUGGAACGCCAAAGGUGAAAACAGGUUGCUGGGGUUGUGCCGACGCUGAGACACGAAAGCCAGGGGAGCAAAGCGGG
rnacentral:rRNA from 1 species